rnacentral:lncRNA from 1 species
GAGGGGAGUCAGCUCACCCUAUAAGAGAGAGGGGAGUCAGCUCACCCUAUAAGAGAGAGGGGACUCAGCUCACCCAUUCUCUUAUAGGCUCCACAUCAGCCACAGGCCGGCCCCUCAACCUUUCCAGGGCCGGGGUGAGAAUCUCUUCAGCUCCUCUCAGCUGCCAGGCAUGCUCAGCCACGCCUUACUGAUUUACACUGGAAGCCAUGGCAGGAGCCAGGGCCACCGUGGACCCUCUGAAAAACAAACCACUGACAGGCACCAACCACAGGAGUGUGGGGACUCUCUCUCCCCUGAUCUGCACCAGGAGCAGGGUCACAGCCUCUACAUUCUCUCCCAACGGGAGGAAGGACAGUAGCACACCCCUCUCCUCGGCUGGCAGAAAAUCCAUACACCACUGACAUCUUCACUUCAAACGGCAAUUAAUAGAACCAGAAGCCGGAUCUAUUUUCUCUCAUAAUUGGUCUUAAGAUUUUCCCAAAUGUUCCGACAGUCUGCAGCUAUCUAUCUUUCCAUGAUCCUCUACAGCAGAAACAGCUGGGACACCUGCAGCUGGAGUGUUUAGCAGUGUUCUCUGAGCUAUGCUGGAGCAUCCAGUCCAAUGUUCCAGCGGUGGUUGAGAAGCAGGGGACUCUGUCAGUCUCUCCCCCCAGGAGGGGACAUCUCUCCUUGAGGGAGCUCAGUGGGAUUUCCCCCUGAGAACCAGGCUUCCUCCCCAAUCACUGUCACAGCCACAGCCAUAUUACACACCUCCGUGGGAUCCUACACAAACACACAGUAUGGUAUCAUGCCUUCGGGCUGAUGAGGGAGAUGGACAUGAAAAGAGCCCUCUAUCGUUGGAAUGAGGUCUUCAUGUUAGAGAUUUGCUCAGAGGUUGGGGUGACAUCACAAUGAUUUGGUGUCAUACUGUAUAUCCAGAAUUGCUAUUGCACCAGUGUUUUGGGCCUUUUCAUAUCACCCCCAGGCUAAUAUCCCAAACUGCUUCAUUCAGGGACAACACAGACAUCCACUUUAAGGUGUGACACAUUCAGCCUUUAUGUCAAGAACCAGAAAAGGAGAUACAAUUGUGUUUUUGUGAGUUAUCUUCUUCUCUCUCUCUCUCGCUCUCUCUUUCUUUCUUUCUUUCUUUCUUUCUUUCUUUCUUUCUUUCUUUCUUUCUUUCUUUCUUUCUUUCCCCCUCUCCUUCUUAGCAUGUUCUUGCAGCUUCUCCUGCUGUCUGUCUCCCCUCGUCACAUUUCAGAAUAUGUUACCCCUGUGAUACCAGGGCCAGACUUGAAAGGAAGUCUUAAGGACCUGAGCUUAUACACUGUGCCAGAUUUUGUUAAAUAACCGGGAGAUGUUGAUGCCAAUUCAUUGGUAAUUGUCCCUUGUGGCACAGUGCUGUUGAAAGUCCUGGAGCAGCCUAAGCUCAAGAUCACUGCAAGUGUUAAUCUUCUUAUACUUAAGGUUUCAGGUUUUCUUUUGAUGUCGCUAAACAUGUUGACUCCUAUCUCGGCACAGAAGGCAAUCCAGACGUAGCCAUGAGCAAUAAAGCUUUUGUCUGUUUUUUUUUUUUUUUAGUCUUCGAAGAAUUCCAAUUUUAUUCCUCUUCCCACAAAUUCAUUGUGACUAAAAUAAAACAACAACUAAAAAACAGAUCAGGAAGAGAGGAAGGGGAUUGAUUCAGCUUUAUUCAGGGACUCAUUGUUCCUUUCCUUAGUGCAUUUGACUUGCCCUUGUUGUGUGUAAAAUGGUCUUAUUCAUAGUUAAUGAGUAGACAUCUUAUUUCCAAGCCUGGGUGCUAUAGUACAAUACAGACGGUUGUCUUUGAGAGCUGUUCUGUCAUGGUCUAUUUCAGAUAAACAGAGAAGACACCUCUAUUGGAGGAUAAAUAACUGAGUGUGUAAUUAAUUUGCCGGCCCCAAGGGCGUACUGUAUACCUUAGAGAUUGAUCUGAUCCUGUCAGUGAUAGUGAUAGGUUGUUUCCACACAGAUCCAGGGAAUCAGGGAAUCUACCCUCGGGGACUCAGGUGGAGAGACCUACCCAGGCAGGGAGCACCCUUCUGGGCACGGAGUUGUAACGUAGCCGCCCUCAGGUGAGGCUCGCUCAGUGAUCAAUCAGGGCUGCUGUCUGUCAGGACAGAUAGUCCCAUCCGUCAGUCAGUCUACACCCAGGUGUGUGUGUGUGUGUGUGUGUGUGUGUGUGAGUAUGUGUGUGUGUGUGUGUGUGUGUGUGUGUGCGCGAGUGUGUGCGCGAGUGUGUACGUGUGCGCGUACGUAUGUGUGUGUUUGUGUGUGUGUGCAUGGGUGUGUACAGUUCUGUCCGUCAGUCCAUCCCUAGGUGCUGUAUGACAGGUGUAGACCUCUGUGGGAUCAGGACUAGCAUCUAAUCCCACACAAACGUACAGGUGGGACAAGACCUCCUGUUAUAUGAAGACCUUAUUGCUGGGUUUCAUUUAAAAAAAAUGAUGAAUGGGUUUGUUUUUAUGACUGUGUUUUUCUUUCUGCUUGAAUUUUGUAUUUAUAUUGAUGUGUGUAUUUUCUGUAAUUUCUGUAGUUCAGAGCUCAUCUGUAAAAUACCCCUUGGUCUCAGUAUGACUCCCUG